AGGAAGGAGAAGUCGUAACAAGGUUUCCGUAGGUGAACCUGCGGAAGGAUCAUUGUCGAAACCUGCAACAGCAGAACGACCCGUGAACACGUUUUAAACAGCUUGGGCGGGCGAGAGGAGCUUGCUCCUUGGACCCGCCCGCACCUGCUGGGAGAAAUCUCGGCGGGCUAACGAACCCCGGCGCAAUCUGCGCCAAGGAACAAUAAAAGAUUAUCGCGUGGCUCGUGCGGUGGCCCGGAGACGGUGUCCGCCAAUCGAGAUGCGUGUUUAUCGAAAUGUCUAAACGACUCUCGGCAACGGAUAUCUCGGCUCUCGCAUCGAUGAAGAACGUAGCGAAAUGCGAUACUUGGUGUGAAUUGCAGAAUCCCGUGAACCAUCGAGUCUUUGAACGCAAGUUGCGCCCGAAGCCACUAGGCCGAGGGCACGUCUGCCUGGGCGUCACACGCCGUUGCCCCCAUGUGCACUGCCAAAAGCGUGUUCAGGAGGGGCGGAGACUGGCUUCCCAUGAGCAUUGCCUUGUGGUUGGCCUAAAUUCGAGUCGUCGGCCGCAAUCGCCUCGACAUUCGGUGGUUUUCGAUUAUAUCGGUGCCCCGUCGUGCGCGAAUCCGUGACCGACUAGACCCGUACGACCCCAAUGUGCUGCGAACGCAGUGCCUUCAACGCGACCCCAGGUCAGGCGGGAUC
rnacentral:rRNA from 1 species